rnacentral:pre_miRNA from 1 species
AUUGUACUCCCUCCGUCCGGAAAUACUUGUCAUCAAAAUGGAUAAAAGGAGAUGUAUCUAGAUGUAUUUUAGUUCUAAAUACAUCCCUUUUUAUCCAUUUUGAUGACAAGUAUUUUCGGACGGAGGGAGUAUCUA